UCAAUCAUUUUAUUUUAAGUUUCUACAAGUUACACCAGACAAUUAAAACCGAAUAAAUAAAAAAUUGCAAAACAACCAACUAUACGGACAAUCAGACAAGGAAGAAAAAUAAAUAAAAAACAACAACAACAUAAAUCAUCAUCUUCCAUAUUGAACCAACUAUAACCAUCAUUCAUAGAGUCACUUGGGUCCCAAGAUUGCAAAACGUCUUCUUAUGGUUUCGGCAUAGUCCUCGCCAAUAAAAUCCAUAAAAGGAUUCCAGACGGAAAAGAACCCGUUUAUGUCUCCUUGGAGGACGUGCGUGAGUCUUUCCAGUGGCAGCAGCUGGAGGACAUUGUGAAGCCAACUACAGACAGACGGUGUGGUGCUGUCCAUCCACUGCAAUUUACUACAACCAAAGUAAAUUAUAAAUCCAUAGUUUUACUUCAAUAAACACAGCAACACAUGGCUUUACUUCCCCCCCUACCGCUUCCUCCAGUUGGUAUCUCCCGGACCUAUAAAUCGGUGGUCAUGGACCUUGGGAACUAUUUUGCCAGAUCACCCUGAGAAGAGGAGGCAGGUUCCAGAGAUCCCUGGGAGGAAGAGACCAGUAACAGGUAGGUUGUUGCAAUACAUACACACGCACCACACACUCACUGCAUGUCUGCAGCCACAUGGCUAUGUUUUACGCAGUAACAAAUGGGACACUCCCUGCAUUUCCUGACUUUUAGCAGGGAGAUCAAUGGACCACUUUGUGUUGGUGUAGCCAUGUGCUCAGACAUGCACUCUACAACAUACAUCCACACACGUGUGUGAGAGGUGGGGUUCCUUUACCCCGCCUCUCACACACCAUCUCUAUUCCAGGUCCCUGGACGGUGUGCAGCUGUUGGUCUGUAACUCGCCAAUGGACAUGGAGCUGACCCCCAACGUGGCGGUGAGAGGGCGGAGGAGCCGCUGCAGAAGGAGGCCGGAGGAGCCGCUGCAGGAGGCCCGAGCAGUGCGGCGAGACUCUGCUGCCCCCUGCGGGAUAGAAAGAAUACUGCAGCAGUCUUUUGGUUAUAUUUACAAGAGUCGUUUAUGGUUUUCAUGAUUCUGCCCCGCUGCAGAGAAACGCGGAGAGAAUGUGAAGUGGUGCUCUUCGCAAUAAAACAUCUUUGAUGGGC